UGGGGAAUUUUGGACAAUGGGCGAAAGCCUGAUCCAGCAAUGCCGCGUGUGUGAAGAAGGCCUUCGGGUUGUAAAGCACUUUUGUCCGGAAAGAAAUCCUUGGCUCUAAUACAGUCGGGGGAUGACGGUACCGGAAGAAUAAGCACCGGCUAACUACGUGCCGGCAGCCGCGGUAAUACGUAGGGUGCAAGCGUUAAUCGGAAUUACUGGGCGUAAAGCGUGCGCAGGCGGUUUGCUAAGACCGAUGUGAAAUCCCCGGGCUCAACCUGGGAACUGCAUUGGUGACUGGCAGGCUAGAGUAUGGCAGAGGGGGGUAGAAUUCCACGUGUAGCAGUGAAAUGCGUAGAGAUGUGGAGGAAUACCGAUGGCGAAGGCAGCCCCCUGGGCCAAAUACUGACGCUCAUGCACGAAAGCGUGGGGAGCAAACAGGAUUAGAUACCCUGGUAGUCCACGCCCUAAACGAUGUCAACUAGUUGUUGGGGAUUCAUUUCCUUAGUAACGUAGCUAACGCGUGAAGUUGACCGCCUGGGGAGUACGGUCGCAAGAUUAAAACUCAAAUGAAUUGACGGGGUCAUAGCUGUUUCCU
rnacentral:rRNA from 1 species